UACGAAGGGGGCUAGCGUUGUUCGGAAUUACUGGGCGUAAAGCGCACGUAGGCGGAAUGUUAAGUCAGGGGCGAAAUCCCGGGGCUCAACCCCGGAACUGCCUUUGAUACUGGCAUUCUCGAGUCCGGAAGAGGUGAGUGGAAUUCCGAGUGUAGAGGUGAAAUUCGUAGAUAUUCGGAGGAACACCAGUGGCGAAGGCGGCUCACUGGUCCGGUACUGACGCUGAGGUGCGAAAGCGUGGGGAGCAAACAGG
rnacentral:rRNA from 1 species